UUUUGCGCGGGAAAGGGGAAGUGAGAAAAAGUUUGUUGGGGUACGCUGUAAUUUUUUGCUGAGAUGGAGUGUGGAAUGAAGUAAAGUAACCAACAAAUUUGUGAGCGAGCUACAUAUCGUCGCCUGGGUAAAAUAUUGUCGUAUGUUACGCACGUACGUAUGACGCUUACGACAAUCUUUUGCGACGAUAUGUAGCAGACCGGUAAUGUAAAGAGCAGCAAUAAGAACAACAAAGCGAGAAUAACCGUGCAACAAAAACAAUGAUAAGUACACAAAAAUAGCAACAAAGCUACGCAUACAGCUGCCAUACAUACAUAUGUAUGUUUGUGUGUGUAUAUACAUAUGUACCCCGUAGCGAAUGUCAUGCAUUAGUCACUUAAGUGUCUUCAGAAGUCGUUCAUGACUUUCAUACAAAUGGUAAUUUAUUCGGUGGUGGCCACUGCAUCACUCUGUCAUGCAGUGAUCAUUGAUGACAUUCAAGCGACAAUGUCCUGCAAUGCACUUUUUCUAAGUGACCGCUGCAAGACAUUGUCUGUUAGAAGUCUUUGAUAGGAGUACACUUGCAUGCCAUUAUCACCAGUGUCAUUGACAGCUAUAUGUCGUUUAGGAUUCACAGCAAGUGCUACGAUGUCACUAAAUCCUUAUUAGUGGUGAUGUCACCAGUGAGCAUUUUCGCUACUGGGUAUGUCUGCAUAAGCAGCCGCCAUAGUACAGUACUGUAGUACCAGCAAAGCGAUGACUGAAGCAACCGCAGCAAUAAUACCAAAAACAACAAGCGAAUGAAUGACAGCAGCUUGUACGACUUUAUAUUUUGCACGAACCACGCACCUAAAUAUAUACAUACAUACAUACAUGUUCACAUAUGCACGCAAUGUUCUCCCCAUCUACCCUCACGGUAAAAACGGUCCCCUCCGUAAGUUCCAGAGACCCGCACCGUAGAACCAUCGUCGUUCUGAGCUGAAUACUCAGCAGCAGCCAUCUGCAGCCGAGCGAUUGAACGAACUAGCAAACGAAAGAAUAUUCCAAUACAUGUACUUAUGCGUUCGCUUGUUUACGAAGGGGUGGCGAUGACUCUGUAUGAGAAACAUAUUUUCGUCGCUCUUACAAUGCGGCAUUAGUUAGUUAGUGGCACAGUGGUGGCCUGCAUAUUAAGCCAACUUUUUCUAUUGAAAAUUCAACACUGAAUUGUGUAGUUGGUAGAAAAUACCCUGUUAGAUGUGGGAAGCACUGCCCCAACAUACUGGUACGCGAGUGUAGAAUCUUUUGCUGGAUUGCCGAUAUUUUAGGCAACCAAGUAAACAACCAGACAGUAGACAACCAGAUAGGCAAGCAGCCAGUUAGUCCAUCAGCCACAGCGGAAAAACUCUAGCCUCGACAUGCAUCUACAGCCCAUAUGUACAUUUAUUCAUACGAGUUUGUCAGCAUGUGCAUGGAAGGAGAAUGCUUGUAAAUAGCCGGCAUCGGUACCGGUAGGUCGCGGCGCACAUGCUAAUGAUUAUAUGCCGGCUAAACGAGCGGUUCUCUGCAACCUACUGAACUGAACUGCUUGAUUCACGUGCGGAGUGGAGUCCAUAGCGUUGUCAUACAUAUGAAGUGUAUGCUCACAGAAUUUGUAUCGUGAGAAAUUUGUUUUGCUUCUUCAUCCUAAAGUGAUUUGUUUGGGGCUAAUUACAGUGAUUUGUGGAGGAAUGAUUAGCCAUAUUUCGAGGAUUGGAGUUAGCUAAGGGUACUUUGGCGAGCUUUCUGUAUAACUCUUGUGUAGUUGAUCUUCUAAAAAAAUAGCGUGUGACAUAAAUCAUAUAGUGGAGUUAAAAAAACUCGUCUACAUUAUUUGUUGGUGUUGGUGUCUGCGUUUUGUUUCGAGCUGAAACAAAGAGCGUUAUAUUGAAAACACUCAGUUUUGUGGUUAUGUUAGUCGUAUGUACUAAAAUAAAUUUUGUACUUUUGAGGGAAAGCCAUUGGAGAGUAUAUUAUAAUUAAAGCGCCGUUUGUGAUUGGUUAAAUAUGCAUACUACCACUUGGUAGGUCUCAAGUUUAAUUUUCGGUACAAGUAACAAACAAAUUUUUACCAAGUACAUAAGGAGGUACAUAUGUACGUAUGUACCCGGAUACGGAAAGUGGAAACACCAAAUUUGCUUUAUGAUUUCUGAUAUGUUUGUAUAUACACGAAUGUGUGGCCUUUUAAUAAAAUAACAUAAAUAUA